GCCAAUCUAUCGUCAAGUGAUCGAACGGUUUAUUCAAAAUUUCAAAAUGGCUCAAUAUGGUUAUUUACUUAAUUUGUAUCACAAAUUUUGCCUCCUUUCCAGUACCCUGAGAGCAAAAACCAGAAUUUCGAUCAUAAAAACUCUUGUUACAUAACAAAAUUCUCCCUUUAGUAUUCUUCCAAUUCAGAAAACCAUGCAAUUCAAUGGACCUUCUCUGAAAAAAUUCUCUUUUUCCCCCUUUUUUAG
rnacentral:lncRNA from 1 species